CUGUGAAAGAGCUGUUUGGAUGUUUGGUUCAGCUUAUUACCAAGAUAGGAAUCAUUUUCAGAAUUGUAGAUAUAGAUGAGUUUGAAAUUUUGAACAUCCCCAAAGUUUUAUUUAAGUAAGUGGUUUUAGCUCAGGCCCAUCUCUAAUUGAAACACUUACAACAAAAAUGUACAAAUACUCCAUUAAGGCAAGUAAAAUGUCAUUAGUGUGGGAUUUUUUUUCCUUUCAUUAACCUCAUCAUAAAAGAAAAGGAUGGGCGAAUAGAUUUUGUUCCUGGGCUGGUAAAAUUUUAUAACAGUUUUGCAAGGCUGUUUUCUCCAGAUAAAGCAAGAACAGCAGCCAAAGAGGAAACUUAUUGUUCCACAUUUCAUUUGCCUGAGAAAGCUGUGAACUGCAGAACCUAACUGGGACCAUUAAACGCCAACAUCAAUAAGCAAAGUGCCUUGAAGAUCCAUGGGAAAUGGAAAGGAGACAAUACUACAUGAUACUUCUUUAUUACAAA